rnacentral:rRNA from 1 species
UACGUAGGGGGCGAGCGUUGUCCGAAGUUACUGGGCGUAAAGCGCGCGUAGGCGGCCACUUAAGUCUGGGGUGAAAGGUUCAGCGCUCAACGUGAACAGUGCCUUGGAUACUGGGUGGCUUGAGUUCGGGAGAGGGCAGUGGAAUUCCUGGUGUAGCGGUGAAAUGCGUAGAUAUCAGGAGGAACACCGGUGGCGAAGGCGGCUGCCUGGCCUAGAACUGACGCUGAGGUGCGAAAGCGUGGGGAGCGAACGGG